AAGAGAGGAGAAAAAAAAAAUAAGGAGAAGAAGAAGAAGUGAGGGAUGUGGGAUUGGAAACGCUUGGCGCUCUCUUUGUCAACUCUCACUCUGACGGGGAGGAGAGAGAACCGGCUGGCACGCAGAGGUGCGAUUGCUGCCUCAACAUGCCAUGAAGCGAUUCACCAGUUCUCUGUGCUCAGCUCCUUGACCACAGAGUCAUCUUUGUAUUUCUGGAGAUGACUGCAGGCUGACUUGUGCUGGAAGAGAUGUACAGAGUGAAAAGAAAUGAAGGAGUGGACCUGUCCACUCCUAGCCGGAGAGAAAUGGGCCUCUUGGACAUUACCACCUCUUCCCAGGGGAGACAUAAAUGAGAUGGAAGCGAUAGAAGGAGACUGCAAGAAGAAGAAAGCGGGCCAGGACAGUCUAAACACAGAGGGAGGGAGGAAAGGAGCCACUGAGUGGACCGUUGGGUAGUGGCAGUUUUUGAUUUGGGCUAUAUUGGCUCAACGCCCAGGGCAACACUUUUGAAGAGGAAUGGAUGCCCCCACGGGCAGUUCUGCAACUGGCUCUGAAGCUUAAAGGUUUUUUUUGUUUGUUUGUUUUUUUUACAACUUUUUAGACAAUAUCUGAUCAUCUCCAAUUCAAAAUUGAAAUUAUUUUAACAGCUCAAAGCUAAACUGUUACGUAAAUUGAAAUGAGAUUACUUAGAGGGACAGUAUUUUGUAAAAUGUAAUUUUUUGAGCUGUACGUCAUGUUAUAAUGGUAUUCCCUCAUGGAAAACAUACUUGGAGUGUUGCCUUGAUUCUUUCAAGCAUUUUUGAGAAAUCCUUUCAGUGGCAACUACUCAGCUAUGCAAAAUGUCUGGAUGAAAUUAUCUCCACCUUCAAGAUGAAGCUCCUACUUGAAGCUGCAGUUUCCAAGCUUCCACCUCACAGAGCAGUCCUGCCCCGUGACUCACCCACUCAGCUCCU